AACGACCAUACCAUGCUGAAUAUACAGGUUCUCGUUCGAUUCCCGAAGUCAAGCAUCAUCAGGCGCAGUCAAUAUUUGGGAGGGUGACCAUCUGGGGACACCGCGUGCCGUU
rnacentral:rRNA from 1 species